CCUACGGGUGGCAGCAGUGAGGAAUAUUGGUCAAUGGACGGAAGUCUGAACCAGCCAUGCCGCGUGCAGGAAGACGGCUCUAUGAGUUGUAAACUGCUUUUGUACAAGGGUAAACCUGAAUACGUGUAUUCAGCUGAAAGUACUGUACGAAUAAGGAUCGGCUAACUCCGUGCCAGCAGCCGCGGUAAUACGGAGGAUCCAAGCGUUAUCCGGAUUUAUUGGGUUUAAAGGGUGCGUAGGCGGAUUGAUAAGUUAGAGGUGAAAUGUCCGAGCUUAACUCGGGAACUGCCUCUAAUACUGUUGAUCUAGAGAGUAGAUGCGGUAGGCGGAAUGUAUGGUGUAGCGGGGAAAUGCUUAGAGAUAAUACAGAACACCGAUUGCGAAGGCAGCUUACCAAUCUAUAUCUGACGUUGAGGCACGAAAGCGUGAGGAGCAAACAGGAUUAGAUACCCUAGUAGUC
rnacentral:rRNA from 1 species